GAUGAAUGCUGGCGGCGUGCCUAACACAUGCAAGUCGAGCGGCAGCGCGAGUAGUUUACUACUUGGCGGCGAGCGGCGGACGGCUGAGUAACGCGUGGGAACGUGCCCCAAAGUGAGGAAUAACUGCCCGAAAGGGUGGCUAAUGCCGCAUAUGAUCUUCGGAUUAAAGGAUUUAUCCGCUUUGGGAGCGGCCCGCGUCGGAUUAGGUUGUUGGUGAGGUAAUGGCUCUCCAAGCCGACGAUCCGUAGCUGGUCUGAGAGGAUGAUCAGCCAGACUGGGAGUGAGACGCGGCCCAGACUCCUACGGGAGGCAGCAGUGGGGAAUCUUGCGCAAUGGGCGAAAGCCUGACGCAGCCAUGCCGCGUGAAUGAUGAAGGUCUUAGGAUUGUAAAAUUCUUUCACCGGGGACGAUAAUGACGGUACCCGGAGAAGAAGCCCCGGCUAACUUCGUGCCAGCCGCCGCUGUAAAAC
rnacentral:rRNA from 1 species